GCCGCUGGCGUCAUUUUUGUAUGUAUGCGAGAGGAAAGUCCGGGCAGCGAAGGGUGUCCCGCUUGUGAAAAUGCAAGCUAUUGGCGACAGUAGGUUAGGGCAGAAGAAAACUACCGCCCGCAAUUUGUUAUAGGGUUUAUGCGGGUAAGGGUGAGAAGGUGGUGUAAGAGACCACCAGCAGUCGGGUGAUCGGCUGGCUGUGCCCACCGGGAGCUGCAAGUUCAUGUAAACCGCCGUCGGAGGGUUGCCCGCCCGACGGAUGCUGAAUCCACGGCGGAGGGUAGAAUGCUUGAGCCGUGUGGUGACAUACGGAUUAGAUAAAUGGCAGACACCUUAUUUUAUUUAAGGAACAGAACCCGGCUUAUAGGG
rnacentral:RNase_P_RNA from 1 species